rnacentral:tRNA from 1 species
GCCUGGCUGGUUUAGUCGGUAGAGCGCAUGACUCUUAAUCUCAGGGUCAUGAGUUCAAGCCCCAUGUUGGGUG